UAGAUUACAGAAUUGUCCUUGAAUUCUUUGAGCACAUAACAUAUGUUAAAAUUGUCUUCCUCAUUGGCUCAUCCCCAUCCCUACCCCCUUGUCUCCGUUGAUCUCUACUCAUUGGGUUUGUCAUAAUUAUAUAAAAUGGUCUUGGAACCAUAUAUAUUUUUUGUUUGAGCUUAUUUUCCUAGAAAAAUAUUUUCCUUAGUACCAAUGCAAACACUUCCUAAGGAGAUUAAUCUAGAUAACUAUCCAACUUUUCUUUUGAUGACAGGUGACUUUACUUUAGCUGGAUAUUGGAAUAAAUGCUUUUCAAAUAUUCCAAACAGCAUGCAAAUCACAUGAUGAGGACAAAAGGAGUAUCAAUUACUGCGUGUACUUAAUUAUCGUCAAGUGAUUCUCAGUAAGAAAAGAGUAGGGCUUCAAGGAAGAGAAGAGAAAAUGAUACUUGAUGAGGCGGUUGAGCGAUCUUGAGAUCACGCGUGGCUUUUAGGGACAAAGCAAGAUAGCGGACUACUAGUUAAAGAAGGAAUGAGGAAGCAACUUUGUGAUAAAUUAAUGUCUUAACAGUUCCCUUUGUAUGUAGGGAGUAUGAAUCCUACAUUACAGACGUAACUAUUUUUGUAAAAUCCUAUCCCAGUUAAUUCUAUAACUAAAGAGUUCGUCAACUCGUUUAGAAGAUGCAAGCCUUGGGCACAAAGAAAUCCAAUUUUGGCGAAUUCAAUGUUUUCAUAUACCUAACCUUCCCUCCGGGCAGAAAAUCAUAUAUUGAAUAGAGGGUACUCCACCUAGUCUCUGUCCGGCCGAUCAUUCCGCUGGCAUCUCGCAUUCACGUCCCCGUUUGACUGCCGCUCGAGGAUGUAAAUGUAGAAGGUUAGUCUUAGUGGGUCGUUAGCUCCAGCUAUUAUCUCCUUCUACGCCAUGCUGACAAGUGUGCUGGCGAACCUAUUACUUUUGGUUCACACACGGGAGUUCUUGUGCGCACACAAAAAACACACACAAUGGUCACUUCUGUUAAUUGAGUCCUUUUCUGUGUAUUCUUUUGCUUUUUUGUUUUGUUCUUUUCUCCUUUUGCAAGAGAGAGUGGAAGAGAAUUUUAGGAGCAUAAUUGAAUGUCCUUGACACUAGAAAUUAAAUCAAGGGUAAAGAGUCAAAUUUACUCCUAAAUAUGUGAAAUGAAAUAUAUUUAUCCCCAGUUAAUAGUUGAGAUUAAAU